UUAAAUUUUAGAGACAAGAGAGACAUAAGCCUGAACAUAAACAUAAACAAGAAGAACAGAAAGACAACAUUUCAAUAGAAUUUUAUUCCCAUUUUACAUUUAUACUCGCUUUUAUACAUCAAUCUCAUCACCAAACCCUCCGGAAUAACCUACCUACCUUGCUUUAACAAAUUCUACAGCAAACCCUAAACAAGAGUACAUAUGCAAAUCAUGUGCACUAACAAAUAGAAAUGUACAGCAGGGAACCAGAAAUAAUCAUACAGAACGAGAUCUCCAUUAACGGAGCAUGCACAAAAGCCUUCUGAUCCAUCUCACAAUUCGAAAUCUUGACUUAUGAGAAACGGCAGGAGGCUUCUCUACUGGCGAUGGAGGUUGAAUUUGAGAAUAAGGCGCGGGAGUCUGGUACUGGACGGAUCCGGUGCUCCUGCUGCGGAAUAACACAGAAGAAGAUGUACGAUCCUCUGUUUUCGAGAAAGGAGAGGUCGUGGAAACCUCGUUCCAUACAAUUCCAGAUGAUCCUUGCCUUCUGAACGACACGUUGGACCUCGUCAGUGUUGCCGCCGCUGCCAUAUUCCGCACAAAGCUUUUCUUACAAGCAGACCUGCAAAUUCGAUCUUUCCUCUUUACAAGGGUUAAAGAAGAAGAAGACGGCAAUUAAUAACUUAAUUGUGUGAGGUUUUAUUGUGCGGAAAAUCUUUUUCGGCAGCGCGUGUAUGAAGACUCUGGAUUUUGACUCGUACGCCGGAUUUCUAUCCUGAAUUUUCAGGAUAACAUGACGUUUGCGCGAAGGAAGACAGUGCAGGUACUCAUCAUUCAUUGAUCAUUUUUUUAGGGUUUCUACAUACAGUAUUGCAAUUAUGACAGGAACUUUGAAAAUUACGUUUUGCUUUGUUUUACAUGCUCAUCAAGCACACGGAUUUAUCAUUGGGAUGAACAUACAAUGAGACAAUGAUGGCCUUGUCUAACCUGAAAAUUGGGGAAUUUGUGUCGUCAAGAUCACGAAGAUGGAGUGCUCUUUUGUGUGGAGAUUAGCUGCUAUAUUGAUAUUCUUUACUCUCGGUUUUAUUGUAAUUGAUGUAAAUAAGAAUGUAUAUUGACUAUAAUGUGUUAGUUCUUUAUGUUCUUAUGUCUCUAUUUAAUAGUAAUUGAUGAAAACAAGAAUUAAAGUCAAUUGGACAAUCA